rnacentral:miRNA from 1 species
UGCCAGGAGAAGCCUAGAGCCGUC